ACUUACUAAAGUCUCAUUCUGUAGCAGC
rnacentral:piRNA from 1 species